rnacentral:lncRNA from 1 species
CAUAGGCGAUAACAGCAUCAAAUGGUCUUCUUACAGAUUCCCUUUCUGUCAUUUUUAUGUUCAUUACCCUCCUGACUUUUACCUCUGAAAGUGCAUUUUUGUGCUCAAUGACAAUUAAGGAUAUAAACUCAUUCAUUUGGCACAGAAAUUGUUUUAUUUUAAUGCAAAUGUAAAAUACUAAAACUGAAAUGAAAAGACGUUUGGUGUAUUUUUCUCUAAGUUUGCUUCUCUUCUGUCGUGGUCCUUGGUAGAUACUGUUAAAUGUCUUGAAACCCUUCCAAACCUUCAGUACCUGGCACACAAGUAAUAAGACCGUAAGUUUAUAAUAAGCAUUUCUAUGGAAGGAAAAAGAAGAUAGUUAUAUAUGGUGAUUCCUAUAAAGAAUGCAGAAGAAAUGUGAUUAAUUUUACUGUGUAGUGAUCCUUCAACUCUGUUGCUUAAAAUUGGAUUGACAUUAAUUUGUGCUGUGACUUGCAUGUGUCAAAAUCUACUCAUGUGACCCUUGUGAGGAUUUGAUACUACUGUUAAAUUUUAGGUGUAUUCUAAAAUGCACCAAAAAAGAUGAGGCACCUUUACUAUAGAGCUUUCGCUACAUCCAUUUAUGGUUAGUAUCAUGGUAGUUCACUGUGAUUUCAGAAAUUACACCGUGAAAUCAAACAUGCACUUAGAUAUAAACAAUUCUUAUAUCGUCAAUCCCACAUAGUGUGGUGUAGCAUAGCGGUCUACCCCAUAACACUGAUGGGUAGUGGUCUGCUCCUGUGUUAAAGUUUAAUGAAAUAAUAUAAGAAAUUUAUUUAUACAAUACACAUAAAAGGUCAAAAAUGGAAAUAUAAUGGAAUUAAAGAUGUAUUUGCAACUAAUAGAUUAAAAAUGGAAGUUCAUUGUUACUAAUAUUCAAUCUCAAUAUAGAGCAAAUAAGUUUUACCCUAAGCAUUGGGUAGAGGGAGAAUACAAACACAACAGUGGGACAAUCACUUUUAGCCAAAACAGCCUGCACANNNNNNNNNNNNNNNNNNNNNNNNNNNNNNNNNNGUAGAACCUGCACUUAAUGAAGCUGUCCAGAAUGAAGAGAGAGGAGAUGAUUGGGUUUAACCGUUUUGCAGAAGAAAACAAGUGAGAAAAGAGGAGAUGCACAACCCUAUUUGGUUGCAUUCGCGAUUUUAGGAUUAAAAGGAUCAAAAGUCCCAACAAAAAAUAGCACAGCUAUGAAUUGCGGGUAAGU